UACGUAGGUGGCGAGCGUUAUCCGGAUUUAUUGGGUUUAAAGGGUGCGUAGGCGGCUUUUUAAGUCAGUGGUGAAAGCCUGUUGCUUAACAGUAGAAUUGCCAUGGAAACUGAUGAGCUUGAGUAUAGUGGAGGUAGGUGGAAUUGCUAGUGUAGCGGUGAAAUGCGUAGAUAUUAGCAGGAACUCCAGUAGCGUAGGCGGCUUUCUAGGC
rnacentral:rRNA from 1 species